rnacentral:rRNA from 1 species
GACGAACGCUGGCGGCGCGCUUAACACAUGCAAGUCGAACGGAAAGGCCUGCUUUCCCUUGUGGAUUGCGGGUACUCGAGUGGCGAACGGGUGAGUAACACGUGAGUGAUCUGCCCCCAACUUGGGUAUAAGCCUGGGAAACUGGGUCUAAUUCCCGAUAGGACUGCAGGGUGGUGCCUGUGGUGGAAAACGAUUUUCUAGUGGUUGGGGAUGAGCUCGCGGCCUAUCAGCUUGUUGGUGGGGUGAUGGCCUACCAAGGCGGCGACGGGUAGCCGGCCUGAGAGGGUGGACGGCCACAUUGGGACUGAGAUACGGCCCAGACUCCUACGGGAGGCAGCAGUGGGGAAUAUUGCACAAUGGGCGGAAGCCUGAUGCAGCGACGCCGCGUGGGGGAUGACGGCCUUCGGGUUGUAAACUCCUUUCGACCGCGAGGAAGCCACCUGGUUGGAAGGGUGGUGACGGUAGUGGUAGAAGAAGCACCGGCUAACUACGU